GACCUCUUCGAUGGCCUAGUGGUUAGAGUGUCUGCCUCAGAUGUGGGAGGGCACGGGUUCAAAGCUCGGUCGAGUCA